rnacentral:tRNA from 1 species
GCCUUUGUGGUGUAGUGUUCAGCCCGCUCGACGCGUAUUCGAGAGGUCCUUGGUUCGAGUCCCGGCGAGGACA